rnacentral:lncRNA from 1 species
UCUGCCGGCUACGGUGGUUUAGGUUGGUUUUGGAGGGGACCGAAGCCUCAUAUGCACUGGUGUAUUUUGUUGUGGUGGCGGUGUACCAGGUACCGGAUCCUUCUUCUGCUGCAGGCUACGACAGACCGAGCUUUGAGCAACCAAAUUAUCUGUCGUAAAGUGGCGUUUGAAAUCAAAUUAGUAUUAUAUGCAAAUUUGAAUUUGAGUUAAUUACAUCAAACAUUUUCAGACAAAAGUCCGGAUUUUAAAUUCUUAUUUAAA